UGGGGAAUAUUGCACAAUGGGCGCAAGCCUGAUGCAGCGACGCCGCGUGGGGGAUGAAGGCCUUCGGGUUGUAAACUCCUUUCGCUAGGGACGAAGCCUUAUGGUGACGGUACCUGGAGAAGAAGCACCGGCUAACUACGUGCCAGCAGCCGCGGUAAUACGUAGGGUGCGAGCGUUGUCCGGAAUUACUGGGCGUAAAGAGCUCGUAGGUGGUUUGUCGCGUCGUCUGUGAAAUCCCGGGGCUUAACUUCGGGCGUGCAGGCGAUACGGGCAUAACUUGAGUGCUGUAGGGGAGACUGGAAUUCCUGGUGUAGCGGUGAAAUGCGCAGAUAUCAGGAGGAACACCAAUGGCGAAGGCAGGUCUCUGGGCAGUAACUGACGCUGAGGAGCGAAAGCAUGGGUAGCGAACAGG
rnacentral:rRNA from 5 species